rnacentral:rRNA from 1 species
AGAGUUUGAUCCUGGCUCAGAAUCAACGCUGGCGGCGUGCCUAACACAUGCAAGUCGAACGAGAAAGUGGAGCAAUCCAUGAGUAAAGUGGCGACCGGGUGAGUAACACGUGACUAACCUACCUUCGAGUGGGGGAUAACCUAGGGAAACCUGGGCUAAUACCGCAUAAUAUCUUUGGAGUGGAAAUUCUGGAGAUCAAAAGAGCAAUUUGCUUGAAGAGGGGGUCGCGGCUGAUUAGCUAGUUGGCGGGGUAAUGGCCCACCAAGGCUUUGAUCGGUAGCCGGCCUGAGAGGGCGCACGGCCACACUGGAACUGAAACACGGUCCAGACUCCUACGGGAGGCAGCAGUGGGGAAUUUUGCGCAAUGGGGGAAACCCUGACGCAGCAACGCCGCGUGGAGGAUGAAGUCCCUUGGGACGUAAACUCCUUCGACCGGGACG